rnacentral:lncRNA from 1 species
CAGUCAUUUUUAAUCUCUGGUUUCUGUUGUCUCUGCCACCCCGCUAUCCUGUGAAUGUGUUUACUUUGCUAGGAUUCCUAAUAGCUGGUUCUGUUGCACAGUAGUUAUUUCAUAGUGGUGGUGCCUUAUCUACUUCUGAUUGGCUUCUUGUUGCUCUUUUAAAAGACGUGCUCGUUUUUUAUGACUAUUUUUCAUGCCCUUUGAUGAUGAGUGGAUUGAUGGCAGGAAGGUCAAGCUGUAUUACUUUCAUUCACUGCUGUUGUGAAGGCUCCUCGAAAGAGAAAGAUGGAGCCGAAAUCAAUAUUAAAUUUCAAUAAUGUGGACUUUUUUUAGCAUGUCUUUCUCCACAUGGAUAUUUAUGAGAUAAUCAUAAUUAUAAUAUAAAUUGUAUUAAUGUAUCAGUUAAUCUCUAGUUCAUCUUAGCUGGGACCGUGGAGCUUUUGUUGCAAAUGAUUCCGUUUCAAGAAUGCUGAGUUUCUCUGCUUUGGGGUCAAGGAUUGGAUGGAUCUCUUUCCUCCAGAACCUAAAAAUCUAAUUGAUGAGAAAAGACCCAACCACGUGUAGAGUUAAUUUCAGAAAGUAGUGGAAGGAGAGGCACUUUGGAGAGAGCUGGGUGCUCUGGUGCAAGGAAUGUCGCUUAGGGAUCCGGCUCUCUUGGCCACAGGGUCCUCAUAGGCAAACUGCAGCAGGGGAUACCCGCCUGCAGAUUGAUGUGAGGAGUAAAUGAGGUGGUUAAGGCUCCGUGGCUCAUACAUGGGGAUGCUCCGACGGUAGUUACGGCUGGUGGCAGCAGAUGAAAAGUAAGUUCUAGAAGGACAGCCUGCUGUGGCAGACAGGCUAAGAGUCAGGGAAUGAGGAGAUCUGGCACCCCCUGUGGGCUCUGCCCCUGGCUGUGUCACCUUGGUGGCCUACAGUUUCUGGCCCCAAGCAUACCCCCCAUCCCUUCUGGAAAAUGAAGGGCUCAGACAAGGUGUUCUUUGAAUAACCCACAGUUUAAACUUCUGAAGGUCAGCAGGAGAGAUACCGUCAAUUCAGGUCCAGUGAUCCACUGGAGCUUCAUGAAAAGGUGCCCGUAUUUAUUUCCACAGGAAGAAGGAAGGCACUUGGGGGUGGGUGUCUCGUCGUCCUGACCUCCAGGCCUAAGUCCCCCAGUAGUGUGGUUCCUUGGAGGGGCCUCCAAAGGCAGUGUCGCAACCACUGCAGCAUUUUAAGGGAGUUCAUUAUCAGUAUUUUCCCCCACUGGGUGUGUUCUGGCUGGAUGUAGAGACUGAUACCUGGAUUGGGCUUCAGAAGUGAUACUCAGGCUGUAAGUGGAAGCCUUUUUUCUUUUAUAAUGCACUUUCAAAGUAGUUUUCUGCCAUAAAUCCUCCAACUGCCAGCCCAGCAUUCACUGAGGGGGAGCCGGCCCCACAGCAAGCCCGUUGUCAGAUAGUCUGCUUCUGUCUCUGUAGGUGGAGAUGCUCACCUCCCAGGUGCCUGUGAGGCCUGAGGGAAUGCACACGGGACAGGGAGUGGGAGGGAUGCAGGCCCACUCUCCCCCACCUCGGGAGAGUUAUCCUCAGAAAUGAGCAUCCGAUGAAACGGACAAAUAACCCAUCUGCAGUCUGAACUUAAGGAAGUCCUAAGGCAGUGUGGAAUCUGAGCCGCAUCUGCGACUUACACCACAGCUCAUAGCAACGCUGGAUCCUUAACCCGCUGAGUGAGGCCAGGGAUCGAACCUGCAACCUCAUAGUUACUAGUCCGGUUCGUUAACCACUGUUGCUGCCAAAUUUUUAUAUUGUUUCCUUCGCCUGCAGCUAUCCAAAGUAUCUUCAGUCCUUCCUAGGCCUUUGAAAUGUAACUCUUCACCAAAAAUUUUUGGUUUGACCAUGGAUGGGAGGCAAAAGUUAUCCUCUCUUUUUGUCCUUACUCUGUCCGAACAAGUACAUUUUAAAUUGCUUUCUUAUCUACAGACUCAAAUGUCACUUGUCCUGCUACAUGUGUUUUGUGUCCUUAACUUCUUUGUUCACUUUGGUAAUUCCAGGGCAAGUUAUUAGAAUCUACUUGGUGACCAUUGGUGCUUUUUUAGAUAGUGAACAUUUGAAGAGCAGGAACUGGAUUUAUCAACUCCUCUCUUCCCAAUCCUUCCUGCUUUUUGUUGAAAGGACAGAACGGAAAUGAAAGAAGGGGGAAAUUCCAGUCUAAAAAGUUAUGCGCUGAUUCAUAAAGCUUAAAUUAUCCAGGACAUUGCAAGGAGAUGUUUGUAUGUGUUUCAAGGCUAACUUGUAAGAAUGAGAUGUCUCUUCUGAGAUGUUACUUUUAUGUAAUGUGAGUGAAAUUCAGGAAAACCAAAAGGGAGUGUAAAGAAAAUUGUUGGCCUUAUUUGGUUAUUUUAGCUAAUCUAAUGUUCAGGCACUGUGAAACAAUAUUUCUGUUUUAAAAUAAAGUUUCCUAUUGCAUUUGAAAGCAGGAAUAUUUAUGGGCAUUUUAAAUCUGUGUAUGCAAUUUCAUAAAUUAUUUACAUUGAUACUUUCAUAAAUACUUUUAUUGUAUAUCUCUGGGAUUUUGAGGCAUUUGCUCAGAAACAUUGAGGGUUGGCCCUGAAUUGAAAGCUUUACCAGUUAAGGACUCUUAACAGCAUUCCAUUUGGAAUAUGGAAGUAUUUGAUGAGGAAUACUACAUCUUUUUAAUGAAUAUAUUAUAUCGUGUUGUAAAUUAUUUCAAGGCAGGAACUGUAAGUUGUGUCGGUUUUCUGGUUUUUUGUUUUCUUUCCUUCCCACAUCUUCUUGUAUAACCUUUAAACUAUUCUUUAUGCCCUUGGCACAAAGAAAGUUUCCCAUGUUGUUCCUUUCAUUUUGUUCCUUCAAUUAUUUAUUGUUCUCACUUUCUUAUCACACAUUUGUGUCUUGGAAAACAUUUAUUUUCCCAUUUUCUUCUGUUAGUUAAUGCGUUGUUGAAAACAGAUAAAUAAGGAAGAUGUGAAAUGAGCACUUGCGUAUAUUUUAUCUGGAGUUUACAGGAGAGGGACCUAAGAAGACAUUUGGAAGUAACUGCACAAAGAUGAUAGUUAAAGCUGCAGGUACCAACGACAUCACCAGACAAUACUGGCUCCCAUGCAGAUGUCACCCCCAGUGAUUUCACUCUCCUGUCUUCGUUGGGUCACACAGGCAACUGUGAUCCAACCACAUCCACAUGCUGCUAUCCAGAGUAGUGUUUUUAUUCCAGGGCACCCAUGCCUACCACCUCAUCCCAAUGCAUUCAGUGCUCAAAUGCCUCCUAGUAUAGCACCCUUUCCAGCCCUUUCCAAAGCUAUGAAGACUGGUAAGAGAAGUAAGCCAUGGAUGCCCCCCUGGGAACACUGGCUUUUACAUGGAGCCCACCAUUGAUCCUGAGGAGUGAGCCAAAAAAAAAAAAGGAAGGCAGCAGAAAUUGAGGAAGAAUGUGUUUAUCAUGAAGGUCUAGAGAAAACAGAGUUUCCAGAGGGAGGAAGGAGUCAAGAGUGUUGAAUGUGUCAAUGAGCCAGAAUGACUGGGACGGUUCUUAUACCUGUAGCUUCCCUUGGAAACAGGGACAGUUUCUCCAAACAUCCCCAUCAGCAAGUGUAUGGUCGCUGUCAAGAGAGAAUGCGGGAGGGCUGGGGGUGGUUUAGAGGAGAGGAGGAAGCACUUCGUCUGAAAGAAUGAUGUUAGUGGGAAAGGGUGGUAGGUUAAGUGGUGAUAGACCUCAAAUGGUGGAAAGACUUUCAACUAGUAGGCUUUGAGCCCAUUGUCUCCUUUUCUGAUGCAGUUUCUAGGAGCUCACUGAACUUAACAGUGGGAUUGGUGUUCUAGCUAAGUGAGUCUACCAGGGACCCAAAUACCAAGUACUUAGAGCUAUAAAAUUAAACACAUAACAAAGACAUUUCUUAAAUAGUUUACUCUUUCAACAGAUGGAGCUAACAUUCUGUAAAUUAGUAUUGCUCUUCUAUUUAAUUCUUUUCACCAUAUUAAAUAAUGCUUAGGCAGGUUUGCUGAUAAUUAAGAGAAUAGCUAAUAAUUGUCAGCAUAUGUUUGCUAUUUCCAUCAACCCCAAGGAAUAGAUUUUAGGUGCUAUUGAUGUAUCAUAUUACACACAUGGAUGUUAUUAACCAACACUUGAAUAAAUGCAAAGCAUAUAUAUUUCUAUAGAUGCUAGUCCUUGUCCAAAGUUCAUAUUGCACAUGAAGGGGUUUGAUGCUGUAAAUAA